rnacentral:rRNA from 1 species
GGGGGGGGGUGGGGGGGGGGCGGGGGGGGGGGGGUGGGGCGGGCGGGGGGGGGGCUGGCUGCUCUGGUGUGCGCGGCGGAGGGGUGAUUCGCACGGUGGUGACCUCCCUAUCAGGCUGGGCUCACUCCUGGCCCCCGGGGCUCGUACCGGCUACUAUUUUUGCCCUCACGUUUCACCAUGUAAAGACGUUCUUGCUGUCCCUUCUUCAUUGCUCCGCUCUUCAGUAUCUAGUGGGUAAGGUAACGGCUUAUCAAGGCACCGAUGCAUAGCCGACCUGAGAGGGUGAUCGGCCACACUGGAACUGAGAAACGGUCCAGAAUCAUACGGGAGGCAGCAGUAGGGAAGCUUACGCAAUGGGCGAAAGCCUGACGGAGCAACGCCGCGUGAGUGAUGAAGGUCUUCGGAUAGUAAAACUCUGUUAUUAGGGAAGAACAUAUGGGUAAGUAACUGUGCACAUAUUGACGGUACCUAAUCAGAAAGCCACGGCUAACUACGUG